AGGUUCCCACGCCGGGAAUCGAACCCGGGCCUUCUGGGUGAAAGCCAGAGACCCUAGCCCCUAACACACUAUUAAAUUAUUUGGAUUAGGUC